CUGACCUCCUUGUGAAGAUCCCAUAUAAAAGGAAAGACUCGCAGAAAUCAGAGGUCUAUACUCCGAGGAAUGCGCCUUAUGUUAGUGAGGAAAUUGAUGUGGUUCGUGAGCAAUGGGCUAAGUUUUUUACGAGCAAGUAUUUAUUAUUAAUGGCAUGAGCGAUCGAGUUGGUUUAGAUGUUAUAGAAUAAUAUUUUAUAUUAAAAUGUAUGCGUACGUUGAAAUUGAAACAUAUAAUUAAAUGUAGUACGUGCACUUUGGAUAUGUAUACAAAACACCAAUUAUUGUUUUUAUAUUUGUUCUACAGAUUGCGAUA